rnacentral:rRNA from 1 species
UACGGGGGGGGCAAGCGUUGUUCGGAAUUACUGGGCGUAAAGGGCUCGUAGGCGGCCAACUAAGUCAGACGUGAAAUCCCCAGGCUCAACCUGGGAACUGCGUCUGAUACUGGAUGGCUUGAAUCCGGGAGAGGGAUGCAGAAUUCCAGGUGUAGCGGUGAAAUGCGUAGAUAUCUGGAGGAAUACCGGUGGCGAAGGCGGCAUCCUGGACCGGCAUUGACGCUGAGGAGCGAAAGCCAGGGGAGCAAAGC